AUUGAACGCUGGCGGCAGGCCUAACACAUGCAAGUCGAGCGGAGCGGCGGACGGGUGAGUAACGUCUGGGAAACUGUCCGAACGAGGGGGAUAACAACCGGAAACGGUAUCUAAUACCGCAUACCAUACGCUGUGCUCAGCUGGGAUCAGCCAGCAGGUGGGGGAACGGCUCAACCAGGCGACGAUCCCUAGCUGGUCUGAGAGGAUCACCAGCCACACUGUAACUGAGACACGGUCCAGACUCCUACGGGAGGCAGCAGUGGGGAAUAUUGGACAAUGGGCGAAAGCCUGAUCCAGCCAUGCCGCGUGUGUGAAGAAGGUCUUCGGAUGGUAAAGCACUUUAAGUUGGGAGGCGUUACCAACAGAAUAAGCACCGGCUAACUUCGUGCCAGCAGCCGCGGUAAUUC
rnacentral:rRNA from 1 species